rnacentral:rRNA from 1 species
UACAGAGGGGGCAAGCGUUGUUCGGAAUUACUGGGCGUAAAGGGCGCGUAGGCGGCCUGCUAAGUCGAACGUGAAAUCCCUGGGCUCAACCCAGGAACUGCGUCCGAUACUGGUUGGCUUGAAUCCGGGAGAGGGAUGUGGAAUUCCAGGUGUAGCGGUGAAAUGCGUAGAUAUCUGGAGGAACACCGGUGGCGAAGGCAGCCCCCUGGGAUAACACUGACGCUCAUGCACGAAAGCGUGGGGAGCAAACAGG